GCCGCGGUGGCGGAACUGGUAUACGCGCUGGUUUCAAAAACCAGUGACCGCAAGGUCGUGAGAGUUCGAUUCUCUCCCGCGGCA
rnacentral:tRNA from 1 species